CCUACGGGUAGCAGCAGUGAGGAAUAUUGGUCAAUGGACGAGAGUCUGAACCAGCCAAGUAGCGUGAAGGAUGACUGCCCUAUGGGUUGUAAACUUCUUUUAUAUGGGAAUAAAACGUUCCACGUGUGGGAUUUUGUAUGUACCAUAUGAAUAAGGAUCGGCUAACUCCGUGCCAGCAGCCGCGGUAAUACGGAGGAUCCGAGCGUUAUCCGGAUUUAUUGGGUUUAAAGGGAGCGUAGGUGGAUUGUUAAGUCAGUUGUGAAAGUUUGCGGCUCAACCGUAAAAUUGCAGUUGAAACUGGCAGUCUUGAGUACAGUAGAGGUGGGCGGAAUUCGUGGUGUAGCGGUGAAAUGCUUAGAUAUCACGAAGAACUCCGAUUGCGAAGGCAGUUCACUGGACUGCAACUGACACUGAGGCUCGAAAGUGUGGGUAUCAAACAGGAUUAGAUACCCCAGUAGUC
rnacentral:rRNA from 1 species